rnacentral:SRP_RNA from 1 species
GCCAGGCGUGGUGGCUCACGCCUGUAAUUCCAGCAAAUUGGGAGGCUGAGGCAGGUGGAUCACUUGAGGUCAGGAGUACGAGAGCAGCCUGGCCAACAUAGUGAAACCCUGUCUCUA